CACCAGUGGCAUUGGAAGAAUUCCCUGCAACUCCGUCCUUGGGACUUCCUGGGGCCUUUGCCUGCAGGACUUACUCUCUGUCUCUUGAUGAGCAUCCAGCAUUCCUGUGGUGCUCAUGGGAGCUGCACAGAUCCAUUGCUCCUGAAAACCAGACCCUGUGCCUGUCACUUCAGAGUGUGCCCAGUGACCUGUGUUUCAUGUGUCAUCACCUGAUAGGCCAGCGGGAGAUGAGGAUGCUGCAGUGAGAAGAGAUGAGUGGUGGGAGGAACGUGUCUGCACCCUCCACACAGCGAGUCGGGACAUGGGGAUGUCGGGCAGGGAAGCCAAAGGGCAAAAAGCAUUUAACUUCCCCAGCAUGAAGAUAAUGCCAUGAGUCCCAGCUCUGUGGAGGAAGCUGCUUGGCAGGACUGCUCAAGAGCCUCUUCCCCAGGUAUGGAUUCCUUCAGGCUCUUAAUUCCUCUGUGUCUCCCAGUUUUAGCUCAUUCUUCCUCUUUGGCUUGCUAUUUUUCUUUUUGAUCACUUUUCUAUGCUGUAAGGUCAAGGGUUUUCCCUAUGGAAAGAAGUUUAGCCCCUCCUAGCCUUUCUUGUGCCAUUUGCCCACCUGGCAUCACAUGCCCCAUACUAAGCCUGGCAGUGCUUGGGCAUGCAGGCACUACCAAUAGUGAGGAUGUUCUCCCUUGAUUCCCACCCAAAAGAAGAGCACAUUUCCCAUCUCCUCAGGCUGAU